rnacentral:rRNA from 1 species
AGUCGGACGGUAGCACAGAGGAGCUUGCUCCUCGGGUGACGAGUGGCGGACGGGUGAGUANUGUCNGGGGAUCUGCCCGAUAGAGGGGGAUAACCACUGGAAACGGUGGCUAAUACCGCAUAACGUCGCAAGACCAAAGAGGGGGACCUUCGGGCCUCUCACUAUCGGAUGAACCCAGAUGGGAUUAGCUAGUAGGCGGGGUAACGGCCCACCUAGGCGACGAUCCCUAGCUGGUCUGAGAGGAUGACCAGCCACACUGGAACUGAGACACGGUCCANACUCCUACGGGAGGCAGCAGUGGGGAAUAUUGCACANUGGGCGCAAGCCUGAUGCAGCCAUGCCGCGUGUAUGAAGAAGGCCUUCGGGUUGUAAAGUACUUUCAGCGGGGAGGAAGGCGAUGUGGUUAAUAACCGYNUUGAUUGACGUUACCCGCAGAAGAAGCACCGGCUAACUCCGUGCCAGCAGCCGCGGUAAUACGGAGGGUGCAAGCGUUAAUCGGAAUUACUGGGCGUAAAGCGCACGCAGGCGGUCUGUUAAGUCAGAUGUGAAAUCCCCGGGCUUAACCUGGGAACUGCAUUUGAAACUGGCAGGCUUGAGUCUCGUAGAGGGGGG